GACGAACGCUGGCGGCGUGCUUAACACAUGCAAGUCGAACGGAAAGGCCCUGCUUUUGUGGGGUGCUCGAGUGGCGAACGGGUGAGUAACACGUGAGUAACCUGCCCUUGACUUUGGGAUAACUUCAGGAAACUGGGGCUAAUACCGGAUAGGAGCUCCUGCUGCAUGGUGGGGGUUGGAAAGUUUCGGCGGUUGGGGAUGGACUCGCGGCUUAUCAGCUUGUUGGUGGGGUAGUGGCUUACCAAGGCUUUGACGGGUAGCCGGCCUGAGAGGGUGACCGGCCACAUUGGGACUGAGAUACGGCCGAGACUCCUACGGGAGGCAGCAGUGGGGAAGAUUGCACAAUGGGCGGAAGCCUGAUGCAGCAACGCCGCGUGCGGGAUGACGGCCUUCGGGUUGUAAACCGCUUUCGCCUGUGACGAAGCGUGAGUGACGGUAAUGGGUAAAGAAGCACCGGCUAACUACGUG
rnacentral:rRNA from 1 species